rnacentral:rRNA from 1 species
CAGUAGCCGCGGUAAUACGUAGGUGGCAAGCGUUGUCCGGAAUUAUUGGGCGUAAAGGGCUCGCAGGCGGUUUCUUAAGUCUGAUGUGAAAGCCCCCGGCCCAACCGGGGAGGGUCAUUGGAAACUGGGAAACUUGAGUGCAGAAGAGGAGAGUGGAAUUCCACGUGUAGCGGUGAAAUGCGUAGAGAUGUGGAGGAACACCAGUGGCGAAGGCGACUCUCUGGUCUGUAACUGACGCUGAGGAGCGAAAGCGUGGGGAGCGAACAGGAUUAGAGACCCCCGUAGUCCCUGUCUCUUAUAC